UAUUGUAUGUAAUUUAAUUACUAUUUGCUAUUAUUGUUGUUCAAAAUCGAAAAGAUUAAUAGCAAGUAUUUAUUUCUAAUCCUUUUUCCUAUAGUUCCUAAUUUUCUUAUAGUAUACAAUUUGUCUGCGUGAAUUCAAAAUAAACAGAAUAUAAAUCAAAAAUAUUGCUGCUAUUAAUGUAUUAAACCAUCUUUAUUUUAAUUAAACUAAUUCCUUACUAAAAUAACUUUUUUAUCGAGUAGGAUAAAGAUACAAAAAUGUUAUCAUUAAAUAUUUUUGACGAUUAAGAAACCGAUUCAUUAGCCACACAAUUCUCACUAUUCCACAGGUUGUUGGUGUUAUUAAAGAGACAAAGUCUUGGCAUUGAUACAGCAAAAUCUUGGAAUCAGUUACCUUUGAAAGUCCAAAUAGUAAUGAUCUCGUAAUGGGUUAAUAAAUUUCAAGUUAUAUCUAAAUUUGUUGAACGUAUAAUUUCAUACCAUAUUACAUAUAUUUCUUUAAAAUAAUAUUAAAUAAUAAACAAAAUUUAAAUAAUUAUUACAUUUGAAUUUUUCCAUGGAAACUCAGUUCUUCCUCGAGUUCAUAAAAAUGUAUCCUUAUUACAGAAUUGCAUCAUACCAGACACAAUUACACGAUCUUUUUAUUGCGUUAUACAAUUGAAAACUAACAUUUCAUGCAUCAGGGCACAACGCAAUGCUUGUAAUAACGAACCAACAACGAACAAUAGCAACAGUACUGCAAUUAUCAGUAAAUACUAAUUAUUAUUUAAAAUAACAUUUCAUAAAACAUCGAAAUACUAGAUACUAUUGAUUAUUACUAUUCUGAAUUUUCAUUAUUUACUAGCAUCGUGUAUUUUAUCAUUACAAAGUAUAACUUAUUCGAAACUUUUGUUAAAAAGAUGGAUUGCAUACAUAUGUGAUGAAAAGAUUACUCUCUUGUGUUUCAUACUUUAUACUGAACCGCGUUAAUUUGCGCAACUAAAUUUCAAAGCGGAUCGUGCUAUAAAAAAGGUGUACAGUUGUACAGUUGUCUUUUUCUUCUCAAGUGGAAACAUAUGCGUUGUAUACACACAGUGAAGUGAAAAUUCAAAGUGAAUCGCAUUCGAUUACGAUGUUCUAUUGUGUAAAAUAAGGUUAAGGAGAAAAAAUGGAACAGAUAUGUAAGAAGGUGAAUCUUUGUUUUACGAUAUUUCGGAAAUUCAAAAAGAGCAUGGUACAUAUUGCGAAAGUUUGAAACAGAAAGUGGAGAAACACGAAAUCUGUAAAAAUUUUCAAUUGUUAGUGUUCUAACAUUAAUUUACACAAGACAUAUUUAUUCUAAUAAUAUGUAAAUACAACUUUAAAGAUGACCAUAUGGUAGUCGUUGCAACUUUAAAUGAAAUAUUUAAAAAACUUUAAAGUAUAUUGCUCAAAGUAACUAGAACAUUUUAUUUCCACGAAAUAACACAAUAUCUUUUCUAAGCAUUGGAUCUGUACUGAAUUUUACAGUACAUAAAUGUUUCUUUCAAGAUACUGAUUUAAAACUUUGGGGUUUACACAUUUAAAUUGUUUUAAAUCCAAUUAAAGCAAAAAAAUCGUCUUUGACGCAAACACUUUUUUAGUAAUGUAUUUAAUAGUUCUAACGCAUCUUUUAUGUUUCCGGAGAAAAUGUAAGUACAAGAAAUAUUGGAACGAACGUACAUAAUACAUAAAUGAAAGAAAACAUUGAAAAAUAUGUGAGCGUAUGAAUCUUUGAUUUCCACAUGAUUGCAAUAUUUAUAAAUGUGGUGAGUAAAUGCAUUUUAAAUGAAUGAAGUGAUUGAAGGCGAUAUGAAUCUAAAUUUUGUUCCAGUUUUUUAAUUUUAUGAAUAAAUUUUAAAUAAAUAAAUUUUUUCAAAUUUAAAAAUUAAAUAAGUUGCAAUGGUUAUGAAUCAAGAUAUAGAAAAUUAUUGUAUCGUUUAUCUGAAAUAAAUGUAUGUGGAAAUUCGUUCGUAUGAUAUUGCAAAUGACUGAUAGCGUGCGUAUUAAAAAUUUCUUUUCAAAAUACAAAUAAAAGAUCUUAAUCUUUGCAUGAAUCAACGUAAGAAACUUGUAAAUUGUUUUUUUUGUGUGUGUGUGUGUGUGUGUGUGUGUGUGUGUGUGUGUGUGUGUGUGUGUGUGUGUGUGUGUGUGUGUGUGUGUGUGUGUGUGUGUGUGUGUGUGUGUGUGUGUGUGUGUGUGUGUGUGUGUGUAAUUUAAUAUUCCUUUAGAUAUAAUUAAGGAGAUAGUGCGCAGAAUGACGUGCGCAUAAUCUAACUCCGUAUCUGGGAUUCUUUUAUUCAUGCAAUCAUAUUUGUUGAAUUUCAGAUAUAUUAAUCAUUGUAAAAAUGUACUCAUAUAACGACAACAUACAACUUCCUCCGUUUCGAUAUUGCCUUACUGGAACAUUAAGUAGGAUUCUACGUAAUCGAUUAUUAAAAAAUUUAACUAUCAUUAUUCAAACGAAUAUAUUUCUAUAAACAAUAAACAAUAAUGUAUUUAAAAAGGAAAAAAAUAAAUGUUAAAAAUGAUGUGCAGAAGAAAAAGCAUUUGCUGCAAAUGAAAGUACAGUUAUUCUUAAUACACAUUAUCUAGAAUCUAGACCUACUCAAGAAAAGAAACAUUGGCGUUUGGCCUGCAUAUAUUAGAUAUUAUAAUAGAAAGCAUUUCACAUAAUAGAAAGCAUUUGAGAUGACUACAUAUAUAACAAUGUACCUACUAUAAUUGAAACUAUAUUUGCGAAAUAGUUGAUUAUAUUUACAAAUAUUAAUUACCAUUAAUAAACAAUAUUUUAUAUUAAA